UCAAAAGGUACAAACUUCUAGUUAUAAAAUAAAUAAGUCCUGGGGAUGUAAUGUAUAGCAUGGUGACCAUAGCUAAUCAUACUGUAUUGUAUAUUGUAUAUUU